rnacentral:lncRNA from 7 species
AGAGAAUUUGAACAACAGUCAUGAAGAAAGGUGUAGAGCUCCAUAAGCCUCCAAUAGGAUUAGUACACAUGAGGAGCUGCCUGUUGACUUCAGGGCCCCUCUUUUGACCAGUGGAUUUUGCUUUCUGCAGCCUCGUAACCCAAAUGUUUUUCCACCAGUGAAGAGAGGAAGCAGGGGGCUGCUUCAAUUAAUGCUGUGCAGUGGGGAUAAGUGAUGCAUUUAAAGGAUUAACUCUUCCUUUUCCUUCGCCUAUCCUCUCUUUAGCAUGACAGCCAACAGAGAGUGUGAUAGAGCAAUCUCUAUCUUGUAUGUGACCACAAGAGAUUAAUUAAACAGUAAGCCCUAAUUACCGAGGCUAAGGCUGACCGACUUACCGUGCCUUGUAAAAUAGCUGAAUACUUAAUUUACGCUCCAGUGUGGACAUAACUUUCACCAUUAGCUGAAUAAACAACGAGCACCCAAGCUAAGCGGACUGCUUCCCUAAUAGAUGCACCAUUAUAAAUGGAGCUCUCCAUUGGUGUGGGCUCACUGGGGCUGCCUCCCAGCUACAAAGGGUUUUUGUGGGAAGGGGGAGCUGCUUUGCAGUGCGCCAACCUGCCCUAAGCCUGGGGGAUUCCCUCUCUGUCAGUGCUCUUCAGCU